GAAGCUGACCAGACAGUCGCCGCUUCGUCGUCGUCCUUUCGGGGAGACGGACGGAGGGGAGGAAAGUCCGGGCUCCAUAGGGCAGGGUGCCAGGUAACGCCUGGGGGGCGCAAGCCUACGACCAGUGCAACAGAGAGCAAACCGCCGAUGGCCCACGCAAGUGGGAUCAGGUAAGGGUGAAAGGGUGCGGUAAGAGCGCACCGCGCGUCUGGCAACAGUUCGCGGCACGGUAAACUCCACCCGGAGCAAGGCCAAAUAGGGGUUCACAAGGUACGGCCCGUACUGAACCCGGGUAGGCUGCUUGAGCCAGUGAGCGAUUGCUGGCCUAGAUGAAUGACUGUCCACGACGCUCUCUAUGAAAAGAACGCGGCUUAAUGUUCGGUAUCAGCG
rnacentral:RNase_P_RNA from 1 species